GGAUGUUAGGGCAAUCUGGCUGCGACAUCUGUCACCCCAUUGAUCACCAGGGUUGAUUCAGCUGAUCUGGCUGGCCAGGCGGGUGUCCCCUUCCUCCCUACCGCUCCAUGUCCCUCCAGAAGCUGCGCGCUGGGCCGAAAGAGACGGACCGGUCUUCAGCGGAGGGUAUACGAGUAGCUGCGCUCCCCUGCUAGAAACUUCCAACAAGCUCUCAAGGUCCACUGUAAUGUGUGCCAUCACCCAGUCUCAUACCCUGAACACUGUAAAAUGAGUGAUUUUACAG
rnacentral:snRNA from 1 species